rnacentral:rRNA from 1 species
UGCGCGGGCGGAACGAUUAGUCAGUGGUGAAAUCCUACGGCUCAACUGUAGAAUUGCCAUUGAAACUGUCGCUCUUGAGUAUAGUUGAAGUGGGCGGAAUGUGUCAUGUAGCGGUGAAAUGCAUAGAGAUGACACAGAACACCAAUCGCGAAGGCAGCUCACUAAACUAUAACUGACGCUCAGGCACGAAAGCGUGGGUCGCGAACAGGAUUAGAUACCCUGGUAGUCC